GUGGCCAUUAAGAACCACCUCCGAGGUUGUGGACCUGAAGUGACAAAUGGUCUGAGGGGCUCUGACUGAGGAAGCAGCUUAGACACUAUUAUUUCUAGAAGGAAUAGAUCUUUGCCUCUGUGGCCUGAGCAGGGAAUCUCUGGGAAAGCUGCUCUGCUUUGCCUGGUGAGCUGCAGGCCAGCCCCCACAGUGCAGCCACCAUCCACAGGGAACUAGGACUCUUGCCUGUUUUGAGCUGAACUCGUUCCAUCUCUUUUGACUUUGACUUCCUGGUCACGGUGAGAGGCACCUCAUAGUGUGGCUGAGAGCACAGAUUUUGGAGCCGAGCAACUGGGCUAAACCCCCAGCUCUGCCACCCACCUGCACUGGAACCUCAGAAUGUCUCUGAAGCACUCCCUGCCUCAGUUUCCCCCACUUGCAAAAAUCCUGCACUGGUAACUAGCUUGAGGAGGACUGACAUCCCUUUCUGCAACAGCCCCACUACGAUACUCUCCCAACUUGCCCUUCACCUCAGAAGCCCUACAGCUGGAGACUGAGAGCCCUACAGCUGGAGACUGAGAGCCCUACAGCUGGAGACUGAGAGCCCUACAGCUGGAGACUGAGAGCCCUACAGCUAGAGACUGAGAGGCGCAUGGGGGCAGAUUCAUCAACUUGCUCCUGCAAAUGAAAAAUCCAUUCAGGCUCAGAUAGAUCCAGUGACUUGCCCCAGCAGUUGAAGGGUUUUCUACCCAGCAUGCGUUCUAGAUCUGGAGUCCAUGGACUGGCUGCUGUGGUCCAGUGGACUGUGAAGUCCUAGGGAAGA
rnacentral:lncRNA from 13 species